ACAGCAGUCCCGCGGGAAUACGGAGGAUCCAAGCGUUAUCCGGAAUCAUUGGGUUUAAAGGGUCCGUAGGCGGUCUUGUAAGUCAGUGGUGAAAGCCCAUCGCUCAACGGUGGAACGGCCAUUGAUACUGCAGGACUUGAAUUAUUGGGAAGUAACUAGAAUAUGUAGUGUAGCGGUGAAAUGCUUAGAGAUUACAUGGAAUACCAAUUGCGAAGGCAGGUUACUACCAAUUGAUUGACGCUGAUGGACGAAAGCGUGGGUAGCGAACAGGAUUAGAUACCCCCGUAGUCCCUGUCUCUUAUACA
rnacentral:rRNA from 1 species